ACUGCGUGCCUUUUGCAAAAUGAGCCAGGGAGUUGUCCUAAGCUGCAAGGUUAAGUCGCAAGACGAAGCCGAAGGGAAACCGAGUCCGAAUAGGGCGUUAAGUAGCUUGGGGCAGACGCGAAGCGGAACGAUCUACCCAUGCCCAAGGUGAAGGACAGGUAAUACUGUCUGGAGGCCUGAACCAGUCGGUGCUGCAAAACCGUUGGAUGAGGUGUGGGUAGCGGUGAAAAGCCAAUCGCGUUCCGGGAUAGCUCGUUCUCUCCGAAAUAGGUCGACGCCUAGCGUCAUGGUAGCUUCUCUCAGGUAGAGCCACUGGAAGGGCUAGGGCCUCGAAAGGGGUACCGAACCCUACCAAACUCCGAAUGGGGAGAAAGCGGUCCAUGGCAGUCAGUACCCGGGGGAUAAGCUCCAGGUACGAGAGGGAAAGAACCCAGACCGUCAGCUAAGGUCCCUAAACUGAGCUAAGUGGGGAAGGAUGUGAAACCCCUAAAACAGCCAGGAGGUUGGCUUAGAGGCAGCCAUCCUUUAAAGAGUGCGUAACAGCUCACUGGCCUAUUGGGGUUUCGCGCCGAAAAUUUAGCGGGGCUAAGCUCAGUACCGAAGCUACGGACAGCGUUAAGCUGUGGUAGGAGAGCGUUCCCUGUUGGCUGAAGUCAAAGCCGUAAGGCAUGAUGGACGACAGGGAAGUGAGGAUCCUGGCAUGAGUAGUAGCGAAGAUAGAUGAGAAAUCUAUCCGCCGGAAGCCCAAGGUUUUGGCGUCAAUGUAAAUCAUACGCCAGUUAGCCGGUACCUAAGGUGAGGCCGAUGAGGCGUAGCCGAUGGAAAACGGGUCAACAUUCCCGUGCCAGCUAAGUGGAGGUUAAGUCAUGACGUAGGAAGCUAAAGGCAGCCUGCUAUGGAAUGCAGGUUCAAGGUAGUAGGAGGAAGGGAUAGGCAAAUCCGUCUCUUCAUACUCCGAGAGCUGAUGAAGUAAUUGCCUUGACGCUACACUACCGAGAAACAAUGGCGUAACCUUUGAAGCUUAGCUGACCGUACUGGAAACCGACACAGGUGGGCUGGGUUAGUAGCCUAAGGCGUCGGGGGAACUCUCCUCAAGGAACUCGGCAAAUUGACCCCGUACCUUCGGAAGAAGGGGUGCCCAUGGAGGUUGUAGUUUUUCGGCGAAGGCCUCCGUGGGUCGCAGAGACCAGGUGGUGCCGACUGUUUACCAAAAACACAGGACUACGCAAACUCGAAAGAGGACGUAUGUGGUCUGAAACCUGGCCAGUGCUCGUAGGUUAAGAGGCGGGGUGCAAGCCCCAAAUCGAAGCCCGGGUAAACGCCGGCCGUAACUAUGACGGUCCUAAGGUAGCGAAAUUCCUUGUCGGGUAAGUUCCGACCUGCAUGAAUGGUCCAACGAGUGCCACGCUGUCUCGAGGAGAGACCCGAUGAAAUUGUGAUGCCGGUCAAGACACCGGCUACCCACGGCAGGACGGAAAGACCCCGUGAAGCUUCACUGUAACCUGACUCAAACACAAA
rnacentral:rRNA from 1 species